UACAGAGGUCUCAAGCGUUGUUCGGAUUUAUUGGGCGUAAAGGGUGCGUAGGCGGCGCGGUAAGUCGGGUGUGAAAUCUCGGGGCUUAACUCCGAAACUGCAUUCGAUACUGCCGUGCUUGAGGACUGGAGAGGAGACUGGAAUUUACGGUGUAGCGGUGAAAUGCGUAGAUAUCGUAAGGAAGACCAGUGGCGAAGGCGGGUCUCUGGACAGUUCCUGACGCUGAGGCACGAAGGUCAGGGGAGCAAACGGG
rnacentral:rRNA from 1 species